rnacentral:lncRNA from 1 species
UUACUUUUCUUUUUCUAAAUUUUCAUUUUACAAAAAUCAUAUAUAUAUAUACAUUUAAAUAAAUGAGUUAAUUUCAUACAGUUUUCUACAAACAUAGUGAAUGAUAAAUAUAUCCGUACAAAUAUUUUCAAAUAUGCUCAAUUGGUUUAUUACUGUUAGAGAAUUAUUUAUAAUUUUAAUUAUAUCAUCACAAUUAUAUUGCUCCAAAAAUCAUAACAGUAUAAUAUAAGAGGGAUAAGAAUGUCAAAAACUAAUCAGGAUUAAGUAUUCAAUCUAUGGUUAACUAAACUUUUUUUAAAGGAUUCUAAUGGGAAGGAUAUAUUUGAAAAUAUCAGAAUUUUUGUAAAAACAACAUAUGAAAGUUGAAUUUUGUAGUAAUAUAUUUGUCAUUUACUAGAUUUACAAGAACCUGUAUGGAAUUUACUCUAAAUAAAUUUACAGUAAUUUGAACU